GACGAACGCUGGCGGCGUGCUUAACACAUGCAAGUCGAACGGAAACGCCCUGCUUUUGUGGGGUGCUCGAGUGGCGAACGGGUGAGUAACACGUGUGUAACCUGCCCUUGACUUUGGGAUAACUCCAGGAAACUGGGGCUAAUACCGGACAGGAGCUCCCGCUGCACGGUGGGGGUUGGAAAGUUUCGGCGGUUGGGGAUGGACUCGCGGCUUAUCAGCUUGUUGGUGGGGUAGUGGCUUACCACGGCUUUGACGGGUAGCCGGCCUGAGAAGGGGACCGGGGACAUUGGGACUGAGGUACGGCGCAGUAGCCAACGGGAGGCAGCAGUGGGGAGUAUUGCACAGUGGGCGGAAGCGUGAUGCAGCAGCGCCGCGUGCGGGAUGACGGCCUGCGGGUUGUAAACAGCUGUCGCCGGUGACGAAGCGUGAGUGACGGUAAUGGGUAAAAAAGCACCGGCUAACUACGUG
rnacentral:rRNA from 1 species